rnacentral:tRNA from 1 species
CCGCCUCUAGCUCAAUGGCAGAGCAGGAGCCUUUUAAGCUCAAGGUUCUGGGUUCAACUCCCAGGGGGCGGA